rnacentral:rRNA from 1 species
GACGAACGCUGGCGGCGUGCUUAACACAUGCAAGUCGAACGGAAAGGCCUGCUUUCCCUUGUGGAUUGCGGGUACUCGAGUGGCGAACGGGUGAGUAACACGUGAGUGAUCUGCCCCCAACUUGGGUAUAAGCCUGGGAAACUGGGUCUAAUUCCCGAUAGGACUGCAGGGUGGUGCCUGUGGUGGAAAACGAUUUUCUAGUGGUUGGGGAUGAGCUCGCGGCCUAUCAGCUUGUUGGUGGGGUAAUGGCGGACCAAGGCGGCGACGGGUAGCCGGCCUGGGAGGGUGGACGGCGACAGUGGGACUGAGAUACGGCCCAGACUCCUACGGGAGGCAGCAGUGGGGGAUAUUAGACAAUGGGCGGAAGCCUGAUGCAGCGACGCCGCGUGGGGGAUGACGGCCUUCGGGUUGUAAACUCCUUUCGACCGCGAGGAAGCCACCUGGUUGGAAGGGUGGUGACGGUAGUGGUAGAAGAAGCACCGGCUAACUACGUG